UACGUAGGGUGCGAGCGUUGUCCGGAAUUAUUGGGCGUAAAGGGCUCGUAGGCGGUUUGUCGCGUCGGGAGUGAAAACACACAGCUUAACUGUGUGCUUGCUUCCGAUACGGGCAGACUAGAGGUAUGCAGGGGAGAACGGAAUUCCUGGUGUAGCGGUGAAAUGCGCAGAUAUCAGGAGGAACACCGGUGGCGAAGGCGGUUCUCUGGGCAUGUUCUGACGCUGAGGAGCGAAAGCGUGGGGAGCGAACAGG
rnacentral:rRNA from 1 species